UUCUGUUAGGAGGUUGCGCCGCUCUGAGGAAUCCAGCUGGAUCCGGUCUGAGGCGGCGCGGGGCCUGCGGGCGGGGUUUUGAGCCACUGGCGGGAAGGCAGGUUCCGGGCAUGUCCUCGCUCGGGUUCUGUUCUGCAGGCCGACCACGUGCCCGUUGGUUCAUUUGACCAGGGCGUGUGAUAGCUGGUGUGUCCAGGGCCGGGCUGGGGGCUGAGGAGGGGGACCCGGCUCCUACUGCACCGUGUGCGUGACCUGGCACGAAGAGGCCUAAGGAACUUGGAGGAUGAUGGGUAGGGGAGCCUGGCAGAAUGGAGCAUUUCUCCACGAGGAGCGACGGUUGAAAGUUUGACUGGCUCCAACUUCUGAACAUCACUGUGCCUGCAGGAUUCAAUAACUGCACACCUUGGAAACUAAUCUCUUUCCUCAGAGACUAAUCUUUCAUCCUGACCCCCAUCCCAUGUCUGGGAUGCCCAGGACAAAUUAUGGGG